GACGAACGCUGGCGGCGUGCUUAACACAUGCAAGUCGAACGGAAAGGCCCUGCUUGCAGGGUGCUCGAGUGGCGAACGGGUGAGUAACACGUGGGUGAUCUGCCCCUUAUUUUGGGAUAAGCCUGGGAAACUGGGUCUAAUACUGGAUAGGACCAUGCUGUAGGUGGUGUGGUGGAAAGAUUAGUUUCGGUAAGGGAUGAGCUCGCGGCCUAUCAGCUUGUUGGUGGGGUAAUGGCCUACCAAGGCGUCGACGGGUAGCCGGCCUGAGAGGGUGGACGGCCACAUGGGGACUGAGAGACGGCCCAGACUCCUACGGGGGGCAGCAGUGGGGAAUAUUGUACAAUGGGCGCAAGCCUGAUGCAGCGACGCCGCGUGGGGGAUGACGGCCUUCGGGUUGUAAACUCCUUUCAGCCAUGACGAAGCCCUUGUGGUGACGGUAGUGGUAGAAGAAGCACCGGCUAACUACGUG
rnacentral:rRNA from 1 species